rnacentral:rRNA from 1 species
UACAGAGGGUGCGAGCGUUAAUCGGAAUUACUGGGCGUAAAGCGUGCGUAGACGGCUAUCUAAGUCGGGUGUGGAAGCCCCGGGCUCAACCUGGGAAUUGCAUUCGAGACUGAAUAGCUAGGGUACGGUAGAGGGAAGUGGAAUUUCCGGUGUAGCGGUGAAAUGCGUAGAUAUCGGGAGGAACACCAGUGGCGAAGGCGGCGAUCUGGGAAGAUACUGACGCUGAGGUGCGAAAGCGUGGGGAGCAAACAGG